rnacentral:tRNA from 1 species
AGUUCUGUAGUGUAAUGGCACGUUAGAUUGCAAACCUAAAAGAGCGGGUUAACCCCUGCCAGAGCUU